GGUGAACGCUGGCGGCGUGCUUAGGACAUGCAAGUCGAACGGCAGUCUUCGGACUGUAGUGGCGCACGGGUGAGUAACGCGUAACUGACCUACCCCAAAGUCGCGGAUAACGAUUCGAAAGAAUCGCUAAUACGUGAUGUGCUGUCAGAUUGUGUUCUGCCAGUAAAGAUUGAUUGCUUUGGGAUGGGGUUGCGUUCCAUCAGCUAGUUGGUGGGGUAAAGGCCCACCAAGGCGACGACGGAUAGCCGGCCUGAGAGGGUGGCCGGCCACAGGGGCACUGAGACACGGGUCCCACUCCUACGGGGGGCAGCAGUUAGGAAUCUUCCACAAUGGGCGAAAGCCUGAUGGAGCGACGCCGCGUGAGGGAUGAAGGUCUUCGGAUCGUAAACCUCUGAAUCAGGGACGAAAGACACUUCGGUGGGAUGACGGUACCUGAGUAAUAGCACCGGCUAACUCCGUGCCAGCAGCCGCGGUAAGAC
rnacentral:rRNA from 1 species